rnacentral:rRNA from 1 species
UGUGAUACUUGGUGUAAAUUGAAGAAUCCCGUGAACCAUUGAGUUUUGAACGCAAGUUGCACCCAAGGCCACCCGGCCGAGGGCACGCCUGCCUGGGCAUAAUGCCUUGUGUCGCUCCGCCUACCUCGUCCUGAGCGCACCGUGCUCUUGCGGCAGCAGGCGGCGAAUGCAGA